GACGAACGCUGGCGGCGUGCCUAAUACAUGCAAGUAGAACGCACAGUUUAUACCGUAGCUUGCUACACCAUAGACUGUGAGUUGCGAACGGGUGAGUAACGCGUAGGUAACCUGCCUGGUAGCGGGGGAUAACUAUUGGAAACGCUAGCUAAUACCGCAUAAUAUUAAUUAUUGCAUGAUAAUUAAUGGAAAGGUGCAAUUGCACCACUACCAGAUGGACCUGCGUUGUAUUAGCUAGUAGGUGAGGUAACGGCUCACCUAGGCGACGAUACGUAGCCGACCUGAGAGGGUGGUCGGCCACACUGGGACUGAGACACGGCCCAGUCUCCUACGGGAGGCAGCAGUAGGGCAUCUUCGGCAAUGGACGCAAGUCUGACCGAGCAACGCCGCGUGAGUGAAGAAGGUUUUCGGAUCGUAAAGCUCUGUUGUAAGAGAAGAACGGGUGUUAGAGUGGAAAGUUCACACUGUGACGGUAUCUUACCAGAAAGGGACGGCUAACUACGUG
rnacentral:rRNA from 1 species